rnacentral:rRNA from 1 species
GAUGAACGCUGGCGGCGUGCCUAAUACAUGCCAGUCGAGCGAACAGACGAGGAGCUUGCUCCUCUGACGUUAGCGGCGGACGGGUGAGUAACACGUGGAUAACCUACCUAUAAGACUGGGAUAACUUCGGGAAACCGGAGCUAAUACCGGAUAAUAUAUUGAGCCGCAUGGUUCAAUAGUGAAAGACGGUUUUGCUGUCACUUAUAGAUGGAUCCGCGCCGCAUUAGCUAGUUGGUAAGGUAACGGCUUACCAAGGCAACGAUGCGUAGCCGACCUGAGAGGGUGAUCGGCCACACUGGAACUGAGACACGGUCCAGACUCCUACGGGAGGCAGCAGUAGGGAAUCUUCCGCAAUGGGCGAAAGCCUGACGGAGCAACGCCGCGUGAGUGAUGAAGGUCUUCGGAUCGUAAAACCCUGUUAUUAGGGAAGAACAAAUGUGUAAGUAACUAUGCACGUCUUGACGGUACCUAAUCAGAAAGCCACGGCUAACUACGUG